rnacentral:misc_RNA from 1 species
GGGCAAUGAAUGAAAUAAAUGCAGGUAAAACAUUUAGUAUGUCGAUAGCGAGCUGAUUAUUUUCCCACCCAUAAAAAACUCUCCAUAUACUUAUAAUGCAGACUAUUGAACAUCAAUUGUGCCAUCAUUGUGAACCCUUCCUCUAUUUUUUGAUCUCUUCUUUAUCCCUUCAAUUCUUUACUUGAAAUUAUAAGAGAUUCUUUCAAUCACAGAAAUGCUUAAUCUCCACCAUCUUCUUUAGGCGAGCAGAAGAAUGAGGAUUGUGAUUAAAAAAGUGAUUUGCUGCUAUCAAGAAAGUGAAUUUCUCCCAACCUUUCUAAUAUUUAGUAUAAAGUAUCAAACUUCGGUUUUGCAUUUAUGCUAGAGUCUGGACAACAUUCAAACCCAUGGAGACAGAUCAAGAAAGGGGCUAUGACAGACUUCAAUAACUUUUCCAUCAAAACCAAAAUCCUAUGCGGAGCACAAUUCAAAAAGUGCGAAAAAGUAUGGUUUUGGGGAGUGGAGGCACAUGAUACAUCAGGAAGAUUAGAUUCAAGAUAGAAAUUUGGAUGACUAUUA